GUAACUGACGCUGAGGCUCGAAAGUAUGGGUAGCAAACAGGAUUAGAUACCCUGGUAGUCCAUACCGUAAACGAUGAAUGCUAAGUGUUGGAGGGUUUCCGCCCUUCAGUGCUGCAGCUAACGCAUUAAGCAUUCCGCCUGGGGAGUACGGCCGCAAGGCUGAAACUCAAAGGAAUUGACGGGGGCCCGCACAAGCGGUGGAGCAUGUGGUUUAAUUCGAAGCUACGCGAAGAACCUUACCAGGUCUUGACAUACUAUGCAAAUNUAAGAGAUUAGACGUUCCCUUCGGGGACAUGGAUACAGGUGGUGCAUGGUUGUCGUCAGCUCGUGUCGUGAGAUGUUGGGUUAAGUCCCGCAACGAGCGCAACCCUUAUUAUCAGUUGCCAGCAUUAAGUUGGGCACUCUGGUGAGACUGCCGGUGACAAACCGGAGGAAGGUGGGGAUGACGUCAAAUCAUCAUGCCCCUUAUGACCUGGGCUACACACGUGCUACAAUGGAUGGUACAACGAGUUGCGAACUCGCGAGAGUAAGCUAAUCUCUUAAAGCCAUUCUCAGUUCGGAUUUG
rnacentral:rRNA from 2 species